rnacentral:rRNA from 1 species
GAUGAACGCUGGCGGCGUGCCUAAUACAUGCAAGUCGAGCGAACGGACGAGAAGCUUGCUUCUGUGAUGUUAGCGGCGGACGGGUGAGUAACACGUGGAUAACCUACCUAUAAGACUGGGAUAACUUCGGGAAACCGGAGCUAAUACCGGAUAAUAUUUUGAACCGCAUGGUUCAAGAGUGAAAGACGGUCUUGCUGUCACUUAUAGAUGGAUCCGCGCUGCAUUAGAUAGUUGGUAAGGUAACGGCUUACCAAGGCAACGAUGCGUAGCCGACCUGAGAGAGUGGUAGGCGACAUGAGAAGGUGACCGGCCACAAGGGGACUGCGGGAGGGCGCAGUCGCGUACGUGAGGCAGUAGGCGAGAGUAUUACAGAAUGGGCGGGAGCCUGAGACAGAGGUGCCGCGAGCGGGAUGACGGGUUUCGGGUUGUAAACAGCUUUCGACGGUGACGAGGCGUGAGUGACGGUAAUGGGUAAAGAAGCACCGGCUAACUACGUG